rnacentral:lncRNA from 1 species
UUUCUCUUCACCCAUUACUAAUUAGAGUUAGGAGAACACUGUUGACAUGAAUCAGAGUGUAUUAUUUUUCUUUUUUUGAGACAGAGUCUUGCUCUCUUGCCCAGGCUGGAGUGCAGUGGCACAAUCUUGGCUUACUGCAACCUCUCCCUCCCAGGUUCAAGCGAUUUUCCUCCCUCAGCCUCUCGAACAGCUGGGAUUAUAGGCACCCACCACCACACCCAGAUAAUUUUUGUAUUUUUAGUAGAGACGGGGUUUCACCAUGUUGGCUGGGCUGGUCUCGAACUCCUGACCUCAAGUGAUCCAUCUGCCUUGGCCUUCCAAAGUGCUGGGAUUGCAGGAGUGAGCCACCGCACCUGGCCCAGAGUGUAUUAUUAAAUACAACAUUACUCCUACUUUAUUGGAUUGUUUCUUUUCCGACACUUCUGGAACUCCUCCUUCUCCCCACUCAGCAACUCAUGCAUCUUUGACCCAUGACUCUGCUUUUUCCACACUCACUCUUGAUAUCACCGGCUGUGUGACUUCAAUUCUCUCCACCUGCCAGGUCCUGACACCCUUUUUGCCUUGAACUCUCUCAGAGUUCUGUGCCGCAUUUCUUGUCCACUUAGCUCCCAACAAGGGAGGGAGAAGGGAAAGAGUGUGCUUUAGGGAGGGAGGAGAGUAGGCAUGGUGAGAGAUGACAAUGACAAUGGUGAUGAUGAUGAUGACAUUUAUUAGCCAUAAGAGGAGAAAAGCCAAGUCAAAAUCCUAUUUAAGAUAUUUAAGGUAAGUUUUGCCUGUACUCUUUGUGCAGGCCGUGUGAGACAAAUGAACAUUCAGAUUCUGAACACUGAUCUGUUACUGUUUGUAGAUAGAGUUCACUGUUCUGUGCUCAAUUUAAUAUUUGUAAUUGAGCAUGCAUUGCUUAGGGGCCAUAAUCCCUGUAUCUAACUCUCUAAGUCCUAUCCUUUGUAUACACAGAGAAUAAAACAUAGUCUAGCCAGGUGCAGUAUGGGAAAGGCCAGUAGAAGUCACAGAGGUAUGCUUGGCUGUGAGGGUUUAUAGGAUAAAAGGGGGAAGAAAGUCCUAACUGAAUACUCACAGUUAAGAAGACCUCUAAAAAAAAUGGAGGUCAGAUUAAUGCCUAAAGGAAAGAAUAAUUUUUUUUUACACUAUCUCCAAUUCUUCUGACUCCCGCCCCCUAUACCAGGGUGUCCCUUUUAGAGAAUAAAACAGGUAGCAGGAUCAUAACGCUAGAAUACAGAGAGAAUUAAAAAACAGAAGAGGGGGAGGAGUGAAAGCCACUGACUAAUUAAUCCUCCAUUUUUCACAUCAGGGAAAACCUUGGCAUCCAGUGAUGAUGAAUCAAUGCUGCUGACAGAUGCAUCGUGUUGGGAUCCCAAUCAUCUAAUUCUUCCAUCAACAGAAAUGACAGGUGCCUAUGUUAAAAAGGGAAGCUGUGAGCAUAAACCUUCAAAGACCUACAGAGCUCCAGCUCCAAAUCUGUGAGAGUGCAUUUGGCAGAAUCUGAACAAGCAACACAAUGAUUAGAGGGUUUUUGUUUUUUUGUUUGUUUUUAACAGUUUUGUUACAAUGUUUCCACCCCAAAAUGUACCUGGGUAAGUGCUGGGCCCAUUUUUCCUUAUUCCUGACAUAGCUGCAAUUGUAUUAGCUAGAACCACCUAUUAUGCCUAGCUGCUCCAUCAGGAGCCUCUGCUGCCUAGGUGACCAUGUCUGGCCAGACGGGCCCAAUCGGGUAAAAAUGACUGGACUAGACAUGGGCACCUGAUUUUAGGAACCAGUCCAUAGCCAGCUUCUCCACCUCUGACUGACACAAAAAGAUGCAUUGAGACAAUCCUAUUCUUUCUUGGAGAUUUGAACUAAGAAUUUGCUAGAGGGCCCUGUGCAAAACCAUGGUGGGCAGAAACUACGAAGAAGCUUGCUCAAAGUGGAACUGAAGGAAGUAGCAGAAUUAUGCAGACUGGGGACCACUGGAAUCAACAUCUGUUGACUCUGGAUACCUUGAAACCCAACCACCAUUCAGCUUCAAUUACCAAAUAUACUCCCUGGAAUCUUCACUACGAUCAAGAUAAUGAACCUAUUCAUCACCCCCAGAAGUUUCCUCGUGCCCCUUUGUAUUACUUUUGUUUGUAAUAGGUAUAAGAAUAAUGCUACAGCACAGUCAAGGUGGAGAAGAGCCAUUUUGGCCUCUUGGUCGAAGCAUCCAUUGUAACAAAACAACUCAGCCUGAUGUCCCAUGAUCAUGAAAGGAGCUCAUGGUAGGACUGAAUGAACACGGUGUCUUACAAAUAUUUAGGCUGAAUCAUGAGGACCAGGGCCCAAGCCUUUAGUAUAGGCCUACUGCUUGAAUAGGAAGGCCUUAUACAACCAAAAUGACCUAGAUUUCCAGCACAUCUUCCUGAUGCUCUGCAAUAUUUAUCUUUUUCUUGGAAGAGCUCAUUAGCAAGAUGGAAGGUGUUCAGGUUACUCACGAAUGUACAUAUUAUAGACUUCUCUUUAUGAGUAUAUGUGUUAGUUUAUUUUUGCAUUGCUACAAAUACCCGAGGCUUGGUAAUUUAUAAAGAAAAGAGGUUUAAUUAGCUCACAGUUCUGUAGGCUGUAUAGGAAGCAUGGUGCUGGCAUCUGCUCAGCUUCUGGUAGGGCCAUAGGGAGGUUUUACUCAUGGCAGAAGGCCAAGGGGGAAAAAGGCAUGGUGAGAGAGGGAGCAAGAGAGAGAGAAGGGGGAGGUCCCAGACUCUCUGAACAACUAGGUCUAUUGUGAACUGAGUGAGAACUCACUCAUCACCAAGGAGAUGGUGCUAAGCCAUUCAUGAGGGAUCUGCCCCCAUCAUCCAAUACUUCCCACCAGGCCCCACCUCCAACAUUGAGGAUCACAUUUCAACAUGAGAUUUGAAAGGGACACACCUCCAAAUCCUAUCAGUAUAUGAAUAAUGUUGAAAUAUACUUUUCUGGGGGAAUAUAGGGGAAGUAGGGCCAGUGGUUUGCUCAUAAAAAAAUUUCAAAAAUUGUGAAAGCCAUCAUUAAAAAUUAAUUUAUAUAUAAACCUGUACUAAAUAAAAGAUCUUAAAAACAAAGUUUAUAAAUACUCAAAACUCAUUACUUCAUAAUUAUUUUACUACAUUUUACUAAUAUCUAUGCUUUUAAGUUUGUGUCUGUUGUGUCUGUAUGGGAGAAAUAUUCUACGGUGGUCUGCUGUUGUCAUUAUAUAUCUUUUCUCAGUUCAGUGUAUUCAGUGAUGUCACCCUGGUAGCUUGAAAUUAGCCAUGAUGGGAAUAGUUACACCAUGGAAACUGGUGAGCACUACAAAUAAAGGCUUGAUUUAUUGUUUUUUGAUUGUUGAUUGCCUCGACCUUAGACAGUUAUACAGGAAAUGCACAUUAAACUUAAAUGUAUGCCUUGACUGUAACCAGCACGGUGUGAAUGGACCAAAAAAUGAGGAAAUAUUCUUCAAGUAUUCAAAAACAAUUCUCUGAUAGAGCAAAGAAGUCACUUCAUCAUUGAGAAACUACUGAAGUUCCUAUAUUUAUCUUCAUUGUUUCACUUUCUUGUUAACAUAAAAAAAUGUGUUAACCAAGAUUUAUGUCAGAACUAUACUGUGGCUCAUCAAUUGCAGCCAUAGGUUGGCUGUGAAUGCAACAGUUUAGUAAAAACAAAAACAUUCUGUGAGAUUCAAUUAGCUAUAUAUAAUUUACAGUAACAAAUAUUGUAUAUAUUAUUAUUUGCAAAUUGUAUGCCAAGAAUCCUUCAUAUUAGUCACAAUUUAUAAUAAUUGUAUGUAUAUGUCCAUCUAUCUAUGCCUAUAUUGUUUUUUUUUUAAAUUAUUAUUAUACUUUAAGUUUUAGGGUACAUGUGCACAAUGUGCAGGUUAGUUACAUAUGUAUACAUGUGCCAUGCUGGUGCGCUGCACCCACUAACUCGUCAUCUAGCAUUAGGUAUAUCUCCCAAUGCUAUUCCGCCCCCCUCCCCCCACCCCACAACAGUCCCCAGAGUGUGAUGUUCCCCU